rnacentral:tRNA from 1 species
UCCCAGGUGUCUUAGGGGCAAAGAACCUGCCUACCAAAGCAGGAAACAUGGGUUCAAUUCCUGGAUUGGGAA